GACGAACGCUGGCGGCGCGCCUAACACAUGCAAGUCGAACGAGCGCGAGAGAGAUUGCUUUCUUGAGCGAGUGGCGAACGGGUGAGUAACGCGUGAGGAACCUGCCUCAUAGAGGGGGACAACAGUUAGAAACGACUGUUACUACCGCAUAAGCCCACGGCGCCGCAUGGCACGGAGGGAAAAGGAGCAAUCCGCUUUGAGAUGGCCUCGCGUCCGAUUAGCUUGUGUGUGGGGUCACCGCCCACGAAGGCGACGCUCGGUAUCCGGGCAGAGAGGUUGGACGGCGACAAUGAGACUGAGAAACGGCCCAGACUCCUACGGGAGGCAGCAGUGGGGAAUGUUGCAAUGUGGGGUGAACGCAGAUGGCGCGAGGGCGGGAGGAGGAAGAAGGUGUUGGGAUAGGAAGCUCCGGUUGUUGGGGAAGAUAAUGACGGUACCCGAAGAGGAAGUAACGGCUAACUACGUG
rnacentral:rRNA from 1 species